CCUUCCAUAAAGAGCCGACGAUAAUGUGUGUGGUCUUCUUCUUCUUCUUCUUCUUCUUCCUAAUGCUCCUCGUCUCGUCCCAAGAAGGAAGGUAAAAUAAGAGUGUCUGAGAUGGGAGGGAAAGGAGGCUCGUCGUCUCCGUCCUCUUCACCGGCGCUUCCCGUCUGUUGCAUGUGCGGUGAUCGCGGCCUGUCAGAGGAACUCUUCCGAUGCAGAUCCUGCCCCGUUAGGUUUCAGCACAAAUACUGCAGCAAUCUCUACCCGAGAGCUGAGUGCUAUCGCGCGUGCAAUUGGUGCUUAAGCGAUCGAAAAGAAAAUAAGCCCGUGGUAGACUCCUCCAUAGAUCAGAUCAACUCCGUGUCUUCCCCCUCUAAUAGCAAUGGUGGAUUCGGUUCAGGAAAUGAGUUACAACGCUGUUCUUCACCGUCACCAUUGCACCUCGACAAGCCCAUCAAGAAGCAAAGACUGCCCGACAAAGCAUCAUCGAGCUCGAUCGAAAGCGUGAGAUCCGAGACGCGGACGCAACCCAAGCAAGCCUUUCGAGGUAGAGUCAAGAGGUAUAAGCUCCUGGAAGAGGUCUCCAGCUAAGUGUGGACUGCUGCCUUCAUGCUGUACGCUAAGAAAUAAGGGGAGCACAAUCAAUCGAGUGAUUGGUUCCUGUCUCCUCCAAUUUCGAGAUGCCUCUGAGAUCGAAUUCUUCUUACCUUUCUGAAUUCGAAUCAUCUUCUUAUCUAUCAGUUAAAUUGAGAACAAAUGUAUCUGUUCAGGGGAGGAGGCACUGCCUUUAUCUCAAACUAUGCUGAUAGCUACAGGAACCUUUUUUUGCUGCA